UACGAAGGGUGCAAACGUUGCUCGGAAUUAUUGGGCGUAAAGCGCACGUAGGCGGCUAUCUAAGUCGGAUGUGAAAUCCCUCGGCUUAACCAAGGAAGUGCACCCGAAACUGGAUAGCUUGAGUACAGAAGAGGAUCGCGGAAUUCCCGGUGUAGAGGUGAAAUUCGUAGAUAUCGGGAGGAACACCAGUGGCGAGGGCGGCGAUCUGGGCUGAUACUGACGCUGAGGUGCGAAAGCGUGGGGAGCAAACAGG
rnacentral:rRNA from 1 species